GAAGAGUGGAGCACAUGGACCAUGAAGAAGGCCUAGGUCGUCACCCAUUAUAGUUUCAUUCUCCUCAUCAAUGUCAUCAUUCGCGGAACCUAAGCCACAACUUUCUCAGAUUUUCAAACCCAUUUGAUCUCAUUGGGUUGGGUCGGGUGCUUCAAAAUCUGAGAUGCGUUUUGGGGUAUUAUCUCUCUAAUGACUUAUGGCUCAGUACCUAUUCAUAGAAUCUACAUAUGUAUAGGGUUUUGUUCUAUAUGUUAGGGAGGUAUUAGUUUUAGUGAUUGGGUUUGUGAAAUUUUAUGCAUACAUUGCAUAAACUGAUGAAUGGGUUUGUGGAAUUUUCAAUGAAGAGUAUGCCUUAGUAGUUCAACUACGGAAUAUAUAAAAUUUGGGAUUUGUGCUUCUUUGUGAACUUCAACGAUUGCGACUGUGAG
rnacentral:lncRNA from 1 species